rnacentral:lncRNA from 1 species
CCAGCUGGAUCACUGUGAUAACGUCAGCUGGAUCACUGUGAUAACGCCAGCUGGAUCACUGUGAUAACGCCAGCUGGAUCACUGUGAUAAUACCAGCUGGAUCACUGUGAUAACAACUUUACUGAAUCUAUUCAUCAAAUGGUUUUGUCGCAUCAUUCUGCUGUAGCAGGGGUUCCUUUAUCACAUAAAAAAAUGCAUAAAUUAGUUAUAAUAAUAAUAAUAAUAAAGGAUAAGGAAAAUAAAGUCUAGAACCAAUUUUCCCAAAUGUUAUACCGCUACUAAAUAUGUUUCAUAAUUUAUAUGAACCCUUUAAUUAUACAUAUUCUCUUUUACAGAAAAUAUAUAGAUCAAUUGAUUGUGACAAAGUCACACAUUGUAUAAGAUUACUUCCCAAGCACUUCAUUUUUUAAAUUGAACCUUUGUUUUAACAGGGAAGACAUGUGCCCUGUAUAUACAACAUGAACAUACAGUUCCUUCUGAAAGUAUUCAGACCCCUUGACUUUUUCCACAUUUUGUUAUGUUACAGGCUUAUUCCAAAAACGGUUACAUUUUUUAAAAUCCUCAUCAAUCUACGAACAAUACUCCAUAAUGACAAAGCGAAAAUAGGUUAUUAGACAUUUUUGCAAAUGUAUUAAAAUCAAAAAACAGAAAUACCUUAUUUGCAUAAGUAUUCAGACCCUUUGCUAUGAGACUAAAUUAAGCUCAGGUGCAUCUUGUUUCCAUUGAUCAUCUUUGAGACAACUUGAUUGGAGUCCAUCUGUGGUAAAUUCAAUUAAUUGGACAUGAUUUGGAAAAGCACACACCUGUCUGUAUGAGGUCCCACAGUUGACAGUGCAUAUCAGAGCAAAAACCAAGCCAUGAGGUUGAAGGAAUUGUCCGUAGAGCUCUGAGACAGGAUUGUGUCAAGGCACAGAUCUGGGGAAGGGUACCAAAAAAUGUCUGCAGCAUUGAAGGUCCCCAAUAACACAGUGGCCUCCAUCAUUAUUAAACGGAAGAAGUUUGGAACCACCAAGACUCUUCCUAGAGCUGGCCAAACUGAGCAAUCGGGGGAGUAGGGCCUUGAUCAGGGGGGUGACCAAGAGCCCGAUGGGAGCUCUGACAGAGCUCCAGAGUUCCUCUGUGGAGAUGGGAGAACCUUCCAGAAGAACAACCAUCUCUGCAGCACUCAACCAAUCAGGGCAUUAUGGUAGAGUGGCCAGACGGAAGCCACUCCUCAGUAAAAGGCACACGACAGCCCACUUGGAGUCUGCUCUGAUGAAUGCCAAGCAUCGCGUCUGGCAGAAACCUGGCACCAUCCCUACGGGGAAGUUUGGUGGUAGCAGCAUCAUGCUGUGGGGAUUUUGGUCAGCAGCAGGGACUGGGAGACUAGUCAGGAUAGAGGAAAAAAUUAACAGAGCAAAGGACAGAGAGAUCCAUGGAGAAAACCUGCUUCAGAGCGCUCAGGACCUCAGACUGGGGCAAAGGUUCCCCUUCCAACAGGACAACAACCCUAAGCACACAGCCAAGACAACACAGGAGUGGCUUCGGGACAAGUCUCUGAAUGUCCUUGAGUGGCCCAGCCAGAGCCCGAACUUGAGCCCGAUCGAACAUCUCUGGAGAGACCUGAAAAUAGCUGUGCAGCGACGCUCCCCAUCCAACCUGACAGAGUUUGAGAGGAUCUGCAGAAAAGAAUGGGAGAAACUCCCCAAAUACAGGUGUGCCAAGCUUGUAGUGUCAUACCCAAGAAGACUCCAGGCUGUAAUCGCUGCCAAAGGUGCUUCAACAAAGUACUAAGUAAAGGGUCUGAAUACUUAUGUAAAUGUGAUAUUGCCUGGGGGGGGGGGGGUUUGCAAACAUUUCUAAAAACCUGUUUUUGCUUUGUCAUAAUGGGGUAUUGUGUGUGGAUUGAUGAGGGAAAAAACUAUUGAAUACAUUUUAUAAUACUUUCCGAAUGCACUGUAAACAUUAUACCCAAACUAUGUACAUAUACAGUAGUUAAUCUGGAACAUUCUUACGAGGGUUUGAAAACAACAUGUAUUUCCUUUUGCCCAUAUUAGGCACAUGUUUUCAAUAAGUAAGUGAUUCCUGCACAGAUAUCAAAUUCGAUUGUAAUUUUGACACAGCCAGAUCAACAGUCGGGGCAAUAGCAUACAUAAUACUAUCAUACAAAUACAGAUGAAGUUUACCAUUUUGAACCGAUUUACCAAUGGUGUUUAUAUAAAUAGUGAAGAGAACAGGUACCAAAAUCAACCCCCGUGGUACACAAUGUACGUCGAGAAAUUCUGACGUAACCCCAUCAAUCACGAUGACUUGAGUUCUGUCACUAAGAUAAUCAUGAAACCGCGAACAGGCGUCAGAGCUCAGGCCUAUCGAGGACAACCUAUUUUAAUAAAAUAGCAUGAACAACAGUAUCAAAAACGUUUUGACAGGUCAACAAACAAAAUAAGCACAUUUCAUUUUAGCAUUGACAAGCCCAUUAACAACUAAAGUGAUUGUUGUAACAGUGCUCUGCCCAGGCCUAAACCCUGAUUGGUUUACAUUCAGAAUACAUUUCUCAGAUAAAAAAAAGAGCAAAGUUGAACACUCAACGAAGGUUCUAGAAUCUUAUCUCGACCAGGAAGCCUUGAAAUGUGGCGAUAAUGAUUAAGAUCUCUACUAUCCUCGUCCUUAUGGAGUGGCAGCACAAGAUCUGAUUUCCAAUACUUUUAGAAUAUUUCCCGAUAACAACGUUAAAUAACAAAUGGGGGUUAUUGAGCCAACAAUGAUCUGUGCCGCACACUUAAGCAGACCGGGAUCCAAUUGGUUGGCCCCUGUGGAUCUAUUGUUGUCUAUUGCUAGCAAAGCAUCCAGGACUUAUUUCUCUGUAAAUAGCCUAAAAGAAAAUCUUUGACUAUAAAUUCUCUGAUCAUUCAGCAAGUUUCCUCUAUCAUCAUCCAGCCCAAUAUCAUUGUGAAUAGGCUUAGAAGUUCUUGCAAAGAGAGAGCCCGCUGAAAUAAAAUGGUGAUUAAAUGCAUCAAAUUAUGGAUUUUUUUAUAAUGAGGCCAGUGUCUGAUUUAAUUUGUUGUUGCAGAGGAGGAAGUUGAACCCUUCAGGGAUCUUCCAGAAUUCAGCCGGGUUCCCAUUACAAUCCGAAAGUGUGGUUGCAUAAUAAUUUGAUUUAGCCUUUCUGAUUUGUCUUGCACAAUGAUUCCUCAGUUGCUUAAAAACUUGCCAGUCCGGGUGUAAGACUGUGUUCCUGGCCUUGACCCAAGCAUCAUCUCUUUUGUGAAUGACUUCUGAUGAUUCCGGAGUGUACCACGCAUUCGACUGACCUCUAACCCUGAUUUUUUUUUUAAGGGAGCAUGAUUAUCUACAACAGUAUUGAAGACAUCUGCAGAAAGGCUCCAAGCUAAAUCAGGUUCAGGGAUUAGAUGAAAUACAAUCAAGGUCACUAAAAUAAAGAUAAUGUAAAAAAAAGCCUCUUCACUGAAGUUCCUCUUUGUGAUGACACGAAGCUUCGCUUUUUAUAUUCUCACAUCUCUAACAGAAACAACUGGGCAGUGGUCACCAGUGUCUUGGGUGAACACACCAGUAGAAACAUAUUUCUCUGGUGUAUUUGUUAAAAUAAGAUCAAUCAAUCAGAGUUGACUUUGAAGGAUCUUUAGGCUUGGGCCGUGAAGGCUUUGUCACCAGCUGGGUUAGGUUUAGAUCAUUGCACAUGUCUUUUAGAUUGUCUGAAGCCUGCAUUUCCCAAUCAUAAUUUAGGUCACCCAGGAUAAUAAAUUCUGAUUUAGUAAAAGAAGACAAUAAACUAGUUUAACUCCUUGAGUGCACAAAGGUUAGCCAAGGGAGGACGGUAGGCCCCUAUAACAGUUAUGGAUACAUUUUCCCCUAGACAAAGGCUAAAAGAUAGGAGAAAAAAAGUAUUUACAAGGGACAAGGGAUUUCGGUAAAGAGACAGGGACAUUUAAAAAAAUAAUGUAAUGGCCACUCCACUACAUCUACCCUGUCUGUCGGCGCUGAACACAUUACAACCCUUAAUACUAAUAUCAGAGUCCAGAAUUUCCCCAGAGAUCCACGUUUCAGUCAAAACUAGAAUGUCCGGAUUCAUCUGCAUAACCCAGAUCUUGAUGUAAUCCAGUUUAGGAAGUAAACUCUAAAUGUUGAAAUGCAUCAACCCAAGUCCUUUAUGAUUUUAUCAAACCGAGGAGGUAUUCAUCAACUUUAUGGAAUUCACACUUGAACUAAAAGUACUGGGUGAGCAGACUACUGUGGAAUCCUCUUUUUAGCUAACAAUAGCAGAUCUAGGAGUGGAUUCAAAACUAAAUGUUCAAGAAAGCGUACAGUAUUACAUAGAGCCAUUAUUGCAUGGAACUCCCUUCCAUCUCAUAUUGCUCAAAUAAACAGCAGACAUGAUUAAAAAAAAAAACUGAAAAAGCAACACCUCACAGCACAAUGCCUCUCCCCUAUUUGACCUAGAUAGGUUGUGUGUAUGUAUUGAUAUGUAGGCUACGUGUGCCGUUUUUAAAUCUAUGUAAUUCUGUCCUUGAGCUGUUCUUGUCUAUUAAUGUUCUGGAUGAUGUCAUGUUUCAUGUGGAGCCCAGGAAGAGUAGCUGCUGGUUUCGCAACAGCUAAUGGGGAUCCUAAUAAACUACCAAAUAAGCCUGGCAGACAACAGUAGGACGAUAACGCUUAGAAAGGAUGGGAGGUAUUACCUGAGCGGGUCUGCCUCCGAGUCUAUAUCUUAACGCAGCCUUGACAUAUGAAGAUAGGGUCCAGGCUCCAAGAUGGAUUGGGUCCAUCAUCUCUGUAAAGCAUCUUUCUUUUCCAAAAAGUGUCGAAAUUGUCUAUUAAAGUUGUGCUAACAGAGUGGCAGUGACAGCCGCAUCUAUUCUCAAAAAUAAUGAUGUAUCAUGAUGAAUGUGUUUAUUUAUUUAACCCGGUAAAUUGACUGAGAACACAUUCUCAUGUACAGCAAUGACCUGGGGAAUAGUUGCAUGGGGGGAGGAGGUGGAUGAAGGAGCCAAAAAUGCAUGCAUUUUGCGUACCAACUACGCAAUUAUCGGUCAAUGUACGCAGGUACGAGAUCCGAGUUAAAAGUACGCAGAAAUGAAUAGGGCCUGAUUUUUUUUUACAUCGUAAUAAAAAAGAAAUCCACUGAGUAAAUCUAGCAUCCCAAUUCUCGAGCUGCAACACACAGACAUGUACUGUGUUUGUGUCAACGGACAUGGAGAUGAAUACAUUAUUAUUCGACAUAGCUACCCCGGGUCUGCUCCUCCGCCUGUUUGUUGUGAUGCUGAGUUUGCCGGCUGUCAGCUGUACGUGAACACAUGGGACAAAUCCCUUUUCGACUCCGUGUGUUGUGGAAAGGUAAACACUAAUUGUUUCAAGCUAACGUUUUGGGUUGCCUAGUUAAAUAAAGGCUAAAUAAAAAAUGUAAAAACGUUAGCAAACAUAAGAUGGACAUUCAGUGGGCUCUAAAAGGCCAGCAGUUCACUCGCAUUUGCUCGUGAAAGAAAUUAAAUGCAAAUCCGAAAAAUAACUGGUUGCAUUUGUGCGAGUGUGAUAUACAUUUAAUUCUGCGUCCCAUUAGUUGUAUUUUCCACCUAACGUGACGAGGAUCCCGCAACCUGAUAGACUGUAACUAUAAUUAUGAUCCACGUCACAAAAAGCAUUGCAACAGUAUAAUCAAAAAUAAAUAGAAACAUCUUGGCAUUAAAUGGAGUCGGGAGUUUAGAAGACUGCGGGAUGACGAAUGAGUGAGUGUCCGGUAUCAGCUAUAGAGGCAAUGCUUCUAACAUGCCUUUGCACUAGAUUUGAGAUUUUAUCAAUUUCUAAAAUCUGAAAUGAUCUAUACGCUGCAAAGAAAUCCAAUAGGCACCUUUACAUAGGCUGAAACACCGGACUCUUCCAGCGGACAGCGUUCAGAUUCCCUUUGCGGUAGCCUAAUGAAGAUUUGUGUAGCCAGUUUGCGGUCUGUGUCGAUGCGAUCAUUUUGUUUUAGUUUUCAAAAUGAUUUUGCUUUUAGUGUUGAUUAGGAACCGUGUCUAAAAAGCCAAUACUUGUGAGCUGGCCCUAGUGAUUGGCCCUGUUUGAGAGAUGACAAGCGUUCCUCUACAAUAAGGACUAAACUUGGGGCCAAGCCAAGCUGGAUCUGAAGACAUUUUAUGCAGACGUCAGAAACGUAUUUAUCUACUGCAGUAGACUACAUGUUGCUGAAAUGUCCAUUUGAGGAUGUUUGCUCCUCCAGCAUGCAGUGGUUGCUGACAUUGGCAACAGGCAGACUGUCGAGUUCUCAUCCCUCAACUUUUUCAUGGCAAGCUUUCCCUGCAUGAUUCCUGAGGGAACCUCCAUGGAUCUGGUGGAAGAUGAGUUUGGACUCUAUCAGGCAACAACCUUUGAGCAGAACCUGGUCAACAUGCGCAAGGAUCAGACCUGGAGAGAAAUCAGCCCAAUGAAAAGGGGGGUAGCCUGGUCUACUCCCACCUUUCGGCUGUGAUGCUGGGGAUAUAUUCCACAGCAAUGCAGACUGGGAACAAAUAUUCAGUCUUGUUUCCAAGAACAAAACCCAGUACAGAGACUCCCUCAGUACAGACCUGCUGAGUGCCCUCGUUACCAAGAAGGUUUCUAUGAUUGCCAGAGGAACAGUUUUCCACAGAGAAGUCUACCCUGAUGCUCUGCUGCAAGGCUAAAUCUGCUAGCUACCAGGCUAAUCUGUCUAGGAAAUGAUUUCCUGAACAUUUGAAGGUCUCCAGAAGAUUAGUUCUCACCCACUGUUUCCUAUCAUAGCUUUUUCCUUUUUAUGAUGGAUAACAUGUUGAUUUGAUACUCAUGCUCCGCUUCAAACCCCAAUUUGGCACGCGCUACGGCCGUGCAGUUGAAUCUCCAAUUUGCCACGCGUGUCUGGUACUCUAAAAAAGUUGGACAGGGUGACAGCCAGAUUGGGAAUUCAGCCAGGACACCAGAGUUAACAGAUCACCGUAGACUUGGAAGGUGGUGCCACCAAUCUGGAUAAAAUCUGUUUCCCCGUAUGAAGGAAAGUGGUUGGUAAAAUAGGUUGGCGAGGAAUCAGCUAAAAGUCAAUCCACACAGUGUGAUAGUUAGUUAGAUUGAAUCACACAGUUAGUAGGAUCACCACAGUUCCAGGCAGCAAGCCAGAACCCAACCACAGACUAAAAACCAGCCAGCAAUAGGACCCACAAUAAACAAGGAACAAAACAGGCCAGCAUUACAACAGCAAGGAGAGAGCAGUGACUUAGCAAAUUCUGGGGCCCAUCAAAACAGCAACACAAUGGAGGCCAUGUUAACAGUAUGAUAGCCAGGAGAGAAGCACCUUGGAGGGGAUGUAGUUUCUAGUAGAGGCCGCUGGAAGCCGGGAGGGGGGCAAGCGCUACAGAGUAAAUCCAAGUUGUCUAAACAAAGUUUGGCGGUAGUCAAACAACAUCCAAGGCGCAAUGUCAAGCAGCAGUAGGCAGGUGUCUACUCAGAUAAUGCCCCAGUGCAGGUCCCAGUUCAGGCCCCAGUGCAGGCCCCAGUGCAGGUCCCAGUGCAGGUCCCAGUUCAGGCCCCAGUGCAGGCCCCAGUGCAGGCCCCAGUGCAGGCCCCAGUGCAGGUCCCAGUGCAGGUCCCAGUUGAGGUCCCAGUUCAGGCCCCAGUGCAGGCCCCAGUGCAGGCCCCAGUGCAGGCCCCAGUGCAGGUCCCAGUGCAGGUCCCAGUGCAGGUUCCAGUGCAGGUCCCAGUGCAGAGUAGGGUGUCCAAGUAUAUCCAAGUAGGCCUCAAAAGUUUCAGCAGACCUGUUUUGUAUGUCUCCUUAAAAACUCUGCAUGCAAUAUUGAGCUAUUGUCCAAUGUGUUCAUAGUCAGAUUAAACAACGCUAAAUAGAGACAAACACAGCUACAAACAUUGAUCAGAGAAAAAAGACCUGCUUACUGGCAUCUUGGUCAUAGCUCAGUUUGUAAAUGCCAUAGAGAUGAACCAAAGAUGUUCCCAUGUGUAUCCGAGUUCCGUCUUCCUUGGGCAUUUUAACACUUGUUUCUAGCCUAAAGCGUUGUGGACUUACGUGUCAAUGUAAAAAUAUAUAUACAGGGCACUCGGAAAGUAUUCAGACCCUUCCCCUUUUCCACAUUUUGUCACAGCCUUAUUGUGAAAUGUAUUUACCAUAUUUUUUCCCUCACAAUACCCAAUAGUGGCAACGUGAAAACAGGUUUUUAGAAAUGUUGGCAAAUGUAUACAUUUUUUAAACAGAAAUACCUUAUUUACAUAAGUAUUCAGACUCUUUGCUAUGAGACUCAAAAUUGAGCUCAGGUGCUUCCUGUUUCCAUUGAUCAUCCUUGAGAUGUUUCUACAACUUGGUUGGAGUCCACCUGUGGUAAAUUCAAUUGAUUGGACAUGAUUUGGAAAGGCACGCACUUGUCUAUAUAAGGUCACACAUUUGACAGUGCAUGUCACAGCAAAAACAAAACCAAGCCAUGAGGUAAAAGGAAUUGUCCGUAGAGCUCCGAGACAGGAUUGUGUCGGCACAGAUCUGGGGAAGGGUACCAAAAAAUGUCUGCAGCAUUGAAGGUCCCCAAGAACACAUGAUCCUCCAUCAUUCUUAAAGGGAAGAAGUUUGGAACCACCAAGGCUCUUCCUAGAGCUGGCUGCCUGGCCAAACUGAGCAAUCGGGGGAGAAGGGCCUUGGUCAGGGAGUUGAUCAAGAACCCGAUGGUCACUCUGACAGAACUCCAGAGUUCCUCUGUGGAGAUGGGAGAACCUUCCAGAAGGACAACCAUCUCUGCAGCACUCCACCAAUCUGGCCUUUUAUGGUAGAGGGGCCAGACUGAAGCCACUCCUCAGUAAAAGGCUCAUGACAGCCCUCUUGGAGUUUGCCAAAAGGCACCUAAAGGACUCUCAGAACAUUCCCUGGUCUGAUGAAACCAAGAUUGAACUCUUUGGCCUGAAUGCCAAGCAUCACGUCUGGAGAUAACCUGGCACCAUCCCUACGGUGAAGCAUGGUGGUGGCAGCAUCAUGCUGUGGAGAUGUUUUUCUGCAGCAGGGACUGGGAGACUAGUCAGGAUCGAGGGAAAGAUGAACGGAGCAAAGUACAGAGAGAUCCUUGAUGAAAACCUGCUCCAGAGCACUCAGGACCUCAGACUGGAGCGAAGGUUCACCUUCCAACAAGACAAUGACCCUAAGCACACAGCCAAGACAAGCUUGUAGCGUCAUACCCAAGAAGACCCGAGGUUGUAAUCGCUGCCAAAGUUGCUUCAACAAAGUACCUUUGUAAAGGGUCUGAAUACUUAUGUGAAUGUCAUAUUUCAGUUUUUUAUUUGUAAUGCAUUUGCAAACAUUUCUAAAAACCUGUUUUACUUUGUCAUUAUGGGUAUAGAUUGAUGAGGGAAAAAAAAUAUUUAAUCCAUUUUAGAAUAAGGCUGUAACGUAACAAAAUGUGGAAAAAGUCAAGGGGUUUGAAUACUUUCAGAAUGCAUUGUAUACUAUAACAAUAUUUCUGUAUUCUCCCCCUAGCUGGCUAUCAAAACACAUUAUGCAGUCACUCCGUCAAAACACAGCCUUCAAAUUUAUGCUGACUGUACAUGAUUGUUUUCUGAAAACAGAGUACAUUCAUCAUCCAAUCACUCAGUCUGUCUGAUGGCUGUACUUACAUCUCUGACUCUUUUCUAAAUAUCUAACUAAAUCUGUGACUAUUUUCCAGUAUCCUUCGCUCACAAACGGAGUUGUUUGUGUGUGUGCGUGUUUGUUUGUGCGUGGCAUGCAUACUUAUUCUGACAUUAAGUGUGGGACCAUGGCAAGUCUCACUGCAGGACUCCUCUCAGAAAUCUAUUUCUCAAAAUCGUUUUUUUUCAUUCUGUGUCCAUCCAAUCAAUAUACUACCUACUGCCCUCUCUCUCUCCUCCUCCUCCCCUCUCUCCUCCCCUCUCUCUCCUCCUCCUCCCCUCUCCUCCUCCUCCUCCUCCCCUCUCUUUCUCUCCUCCUCCUCCCCUCUCUUUCUCUCCUCCUCCUCCCCUCUCUUUCUCUCCUCCUCCUCCCCUCUCUCUCUCUCUCUCUCUCCUCCUCCUCCCCUCUCUUUCUCCUCCUCCCCUCUCUCUCCUCCUCCUCCUCCUCCUCCUCCUCCUCUCUCCUCCUCCUCCCCCUCUCUUUCUCUCCUCCUCCUCCCCUCUCUUUCUCUCCUCCUCCCCCUCUCUCCUCCUCCUCAUCCCCUCUCUUUCUCUCCUCCUCCUCCCCUCUCCACCUCCUCCUCCUCCUCCCCUCUCUUUCUCUCCUCCUCCUCCCCUCUUUCUCUCCUCCUCCUCCCCUCUCUUUCUCUCCUCCUCCUCCUCUCUCUCUCCUCCUCCUCCCCUCUCUUUCUCUCCUCCUCCUCCCCUCUCUUUCUCUCCUCCUCCUCCCCUCUCUUUCUCUCCUUCUCCUCCCCUCUCUCCUCCUCCUCCUCCCCUCUCUCUCCUCCUCCUCCUCCCCUCUCUCCUCCUCUCCUCCCCUCUCUCCUCCUCCUCCUCCCCUCUCUCUCCUCCUCCUCCCCUCUCUCUCCUCCUCCUCCUCCCCUCUCUCUCCUGCUCACUCUGUGAAUGAUUCCCACAUCCUACUCUUCAGGGGCACUACUUUCCAAUCAAUGCUCUUUACAUCUCUCUCUUUCUCUCAAUACCCCACAUCUACCGCUCCUCUUUCUCUCUAUACCCCACAUCUACCCCUCCUCUCUUUAACACUAUACCCAACCUAUACCUCUCAUCUCUUUCCCUCUAUACGCCACCUCACCCUCUCUCUUUCUCCCCCGGCACUCCAUCUUUCUCUAUAUAUUUAUCUCUCCCUAUCAACCCUUUCCCUCUCUGUCUUUCUGUCAAAUAGCAUUUUAUGUGUCACAUGCUUUGUAAACAACGGGUGUAAACAGUGAAAUGCUUACUUACAGACUGUGGUCCAACCUCUUACAUCUAGGGGUUCCACUAGCGGAACCCCUAGCCAACAGCCAAUGGGAUCGCAUGGCGGGAAAUACAAAAACAACUAAAAUACCACAAUUCCAUUUUCUCAAACAUACGACUAUUUUACACCAUUUGAAAGAUAAACCUCUCCUGAAUCCAACCACAUUGUCUGAUUUCAAAAAGGCUUUACAGCGAAAGCAAAACAUUAGAUUAUGUUAGGAUACCACCACAGCAAAAAAACAACAACACAGCCAUUUUCCUAGCAAGGACAGCCAUUUUCCAAGCAAGGGUCCCAAAGCACAAAACCAGCUACAAUUAUGCACUAACCUUUGACGAUCUUCAUCAGAUGACACUCCUAGGACAUUAUGUUAGACAAUACAUGCAUUUUUUGUUCCAUCAAGUUCAUAUUUAUAUCCCCAAAAAAAACAUUUUACAUUGGCGCGUGACGUUCAGAAAAUGUAUUCCCACCAAAAACUUCCUGUGAAUUUACAAAAAUACUCAUCAUAAACGUUGACAAAAUACAUAACAAUUAUUUUAAGAAUUAUAGAUACAGUACUCUUUUAUGCACCCGCUGUGUCAGAUUUCAAAAUAACUUUAUGUAGAAAGCACAUUGUUCAAUAUUCUGAGUACUGAGCACCAUGCUAUUCAGUUAGCCGUCCAGCCACGGCAUCCACAAAACGCUGAAAUAUGUUAAAAAUAUUAUCUUACCUUUGCUGAUCUUCGGCUGAAUGCACUCAGAAGGUCUCCCACUUCCACAAGAAAUGUUCAUUUGUUCGAUAAAGUCCAUCAUUUAUGUCGAAAUAAAUCAGUUUUGAUGGCGCGUCCAGAUCACCAUUCCAAAAUGCAUCUAUCCACCGUCGACGAAAAGUUAUAAAGUUCCCUCAGCGUUUGUAGAAACAUGUCAAACCAUGUUCAAUCAAUCUUUAGGGUGUUAUUAUAGUAGAAUUUCAAUAAUAUUCCAACUGGACAAUAGCAGAUUCAUUACAAAAGAAAAAUGGCUAAUCCUUCGUGAGCGUGCGCGAGGUGAGGCAAUGACACCAGGUCGACCACAUACUGUUCCGGGUAUUAUUAUAUCAAAUUGUAUUCUAGAAGCCUCAAACGAGGUUCUAAUGACUGUUGACAUCUAGUGGAAGCCUUAGGAAUGCAAUAUGAC